GGAUCAAUAUGUUGGUCGUGCCUCGGUACGUACUAGCUUAUUGGUUUCUCCUUUCUGAAGAGCCAUGAUGUCAUUCAUUUGGUGUCGUGGGGAAUCAGGACUGUUACUUUGAAAAAUAGAGUGUUUAAAGCGGGCUCACGCUUGAAUACAUUAGCAUGGAAUAAUGAAAUAGGGCGUUUGAUUCUAUUUUGUUGGUUUCUAGGAUCGACGUAAUGAUUAAUAGGG
rnacentral:rRNA from 1 species